rnacentral:misc_RNA from 1 species
UCACCGUUUGCACGGGCAGUUUCACUAGAGUUCCCAGCUUUACCUGAUGGCAACUAGUGAUGGGGGUUGCGCUCGUUGCGGGACUUAACCCAACACCUCACGACACGAGCUGACGACAGCCAUGCAGCACCUGUCUCUGCGUCCCUUGCGGGAAAACUCCCAUUACGGAGCGGUCGCAGGAUGUCAAACCCUGGUAAGGUUCUGCGCGUUGCGUCGAAUUAAACCACAUGCUCCACCGCUUGUGCGGGCCCCCGUCAAUUCCUUUGAGUUUUAAUCUUGCGACCGUACUCCCCAGGCGGAAUGUUUAAUGCGUUAGCUGCGCCACCGAACAGUAUACUGCCCGACGGCUAACAUUCAUCGUUUACGGCGUGGACUAC